rnacentral:lncRNA from 1 species
AACGGCUGGUUGCGGAGUGGAGGUGAGUGGUGGGAGGGGUGAAAGAGAUGAUGGGGAUGAAGGAGUGCCCUUGUCAUGAUGAGCACGGGGUGAGUAUGGAGUUGGUGAAUCACUAUAUUGUACAACUGAAACUAAUAUAACUCUGGAUGUUGCUAUUACCGGCAUUAAAAUAAAACUUAAUGAAAAAACCAGAGGCCAAUUUUAAUGAUACCAAGAAUCGUGGUUUAAUACACAGAUAGCUGACCUUUCACUUAACUUUUUAAAUUUUGUUUUUAAAUGAAUGAACAUGUUUUUCUUGUAUUUUUUUGCUCUAAAGGCUUUCGGACAAACCUGGUCCUGAUGAUUCAUGGUCUACAUCAUCUAGCCAAGUCUUAGAUUUUGGUACCAAGAGUGUGUCUGAGAAGCCCAACAAAUUUCUUCCUCGUGUCUCUGGAGCUGUGGAUCAGAAAGGGCAAAGAAUAUUAAAUGGACAAGUAGAAGGUAAGAACUGUAUUUUAUUCAAAGGUCAUUUGACAGAAUGUUGAUUUAAAACAGGAAUACUGAUAUAUUCUAAUAUCUAAAGAAAACGGCCUGUUAAGUGCAUAGGAAAGAGAAAGAGAUGUGAAAAGGAGGUAAGUUGCAUAUCGUAUGUGGUGUCAGCAACAGAUUAAAUUGAGAGUGCCACCAAAGGACCUAAAUGACUAGUUCCCUUUCAAGACCCUGGAAGGCCCAAGGAACCUCAGGAAAGAAGAGAAGAGCCAAAGAGGGAAUCAUGUGAAUGGCGGAGACUACAGGGAAUAAAUGAAGGAAAGUAAGCCGGUGUGUAUGGUGU